rnacentral:lncRNA from 1 species
AUGUUAUGGGAAAGGAUUUACCAUUGCACCAGCAGCCUGCAGUAUGACUACCUCUCUAAACAUAUAUGGACCCAAGCUAGUAAAAUUAUGUGCUUAUAUUAUACUCUCAAUUCCAUUUCAAUUCAGGUUUUUCUAUUCUCUCAAUUAUUUCUGCUCUGCACGUUAUAAAUCUCUUUGAAAGAAUUCAAGAAGAAUCUUAUAUGGUUCCAUAGCCACAGAGUCCUUUGCAUAAGAGGUGCUGCUUUAUUUUCCUUUGUCUUGCAAUAUUUAUUCAUAGAUGUACAGAUUCUUAUUUGGAGAUGAUUCCCUCUGAAUGCUCUGCUUCUUUUCAAGGUCUUAAUUUUUUUUUAAACCCUUACUUUCCACCUUGGAGUCAAUACUGUGUAUUGGCUCCAAGGCAGAAGAGUGGUAAGGGCUAGGCCAUGGGGGUUAAGGGACUUGCCCAGGGUCACACAGCUGGGAAGUGUCUGAGGUCAAAUUUGAACCUAGGACCUCCCAUCUCUAGGCCUGGCUCUCAAUCUCUUUUCAAGGUCUUAAUAACUGAAUUUUCUUCUUCCUGAUAGCUUAGGUAAUUAAAAUUUUCCCUUUUGUAUUCUCUCCCCUAGAUCACUUUCUGAGUUUUUUCCCUUUAAGGAUGACUUCCUUGGGCGAUAGACCUCAAAGCUAUUUUCUCUUCCCCUGUUGGACAACUCACUUUUAUUGACUUCAGUCUCUGUCCCAAAUGACGUCUGGGAGGACAAAACUGGCCGUAGCUGUAUUCUAAGUUCUUUUCCUCAAACUUAACAAAGUACCACACAGCCACAUUUGUUUGUGUCCUGCCCCUAUUUUCUCUGUUCCUUAGUUCUCUGGUUGAGCUUUUCUGCAGUCCUACACGCGGCCAUGAUGCUCUCCUAGCCAGGGCAAGCUCUUGCCUUUUAGUUUUCCUAGGCAAUGGGAUGAGAGUAAAGGGAAGAAAUAAGUUUUGUUGCAAGUCCAUGUAUCAAUUUGCGUGGCACUGCCCGAGCUUGGUGCACAGCAGAGGAUAGAGAACUGAGUGAGAAUGCUAGAUGUUACAAAUUAGGGUUUUCUGUUGUCUUGGAGUUGAUUUCCAGUUUUCUUGGAGUUGUUCUGUCGUCUUGGAGUUUUUUACUGAUUAUGGAUUCUUGGCAGCUCAAAUUGCUUUUACCUCUUGUGCAUAGUUUGUUUUUUGCAGAGAUCUGAGAGGUUGUGGGAAUUGAAGAAAAUGUUUAGUCAUCCAUCUUGUUAGUCACUUGAAACUAAAAUUUCCCUAUCUCCAUUUUUCAAAUAAAACAAAACAAAAACAGGCUGAAAACUUAAAA